GGAAUAUUGGACAAUGGGGGAAACCCUGAUCCAGCGACGCCGCGUGGGUGAAGAAGGCCUGCGGGUUGUAAAGCCCUUUCGGUGGGGAAGCAAAGCCUCGACCUAAUACGUCGGGGUCUUGACGUAACACACACAAGACGCACCGGCUAACUCUGUCCCAGCAGCCGCGGUAAUACAGAGGGUGCGAGCGUUGAUCGGAAUUACUGGGCGUAAAGCGCACGGAGGCGGCUCUGCAAGUCGGGUGUGAAAUCCCCGGGCUCAACCUGGGAACUGCAUUCGAUACUGCAUUGCUGGAGUAUGGGAGAGGGAAGUGGAAUUUCCGGUGUAGCGGUGAAAUGCGUAGAUAUCGGAAGGAACACCAGUGGCGAAAGCGACUUCCUGGACCAAUACUGACGCUCAGGUGCGAAAGCGUGGGGAGCAAA
rnacentral:rRNA from 1 species